AAACGUAGGAGGCAAGCGUUAUUCGGAUUUACUGGGCGUAAAGGGUGUGCAGGCGGUUCGGAAAGUUGGAUGUGAAAGCUCCUGGCUUAACUGGGAGAGGUCGUUCAAAACUUCCGGACUAGAGGAUGAGAGAGGAAAGCGGAAUUCCGAGUGUAGUGGUGAAAUCCGUAGAUAUAAGGAGGAACACCAAUGGCGUAGGCAGGUUACUGGGCCAUUUCUGACGCUAAGGCACGAAAGCGU
rnacentral:rRNA from 1 species